CCUUGUACACACCGCCCGUCACAUCACGAAAGCCGGUUGUACUAGAAGCCGGCGAUUUAACCGCAAGGAAAUAGCCGUCCAAGGUAUGACUGGUGAUUGGGGUG
rnacentral:rRNA from 1 species